UUAGGUGUACAUAUUCUAAGUAUGUAUAAUAUAUACAAUAUGUCCAAAGUUCAAUUCAUAGACUUAGAAUAUUUGCAUUGCUUUCUAUUAUAUUUCUGUAUUGUUGUAAAAUAUUUGACACCAUAAACAACAAAAGUGCAAUAACCAGUGCCUUCAACAGCUGUUGGACGACAUUGAGAAAGAAUCACGCAGUUGAUCUUCUGUAUUUGGAUUCAUGUACAAGGAGCGGCUCACAAUACUACGACCUCUAAGGUACUUGCUGAUGACUCACCAUCGCAUUGCUGAUAAGGCUAAUUGUAUGACUCAAUUGAUGAAAAGAUAGGCCUGGUUAUUUCAAAAAGGAAGGAAAACAUAUGAAAACGGCGAAUAGUGAAGGCGGCCGCAGAAAACCAUUUUGAAGGGCAAUCUAAAGAAAAUUGUUUAAGUGGCAAAAGGCAUAGUAUUCACGAUGUGCACAGUGUACAAGUAUUUCAUUUGAGGCGAAUUACAUUGAACUUGUCAGGAACUUGUCAGUUGCUCCUCGUAUAGCCACAAGGCGGAAAAAAAUUAUCAUCCUUGGCAUAAAGGCUGUCACCGCAGCAAUGUUCCUAUUAAAUUAUAAGAACUUGAGAACAGCUGAUAUGGAAUGGAUAAACCUGCGAGUAGUUCAGGAGUUCUAAGGAAUGCAAUAAAACUUUCAUAACUAAGGUAGAACUGUGCUCACAUACUUAAGUCACUUUAUAUUUUUACAAUAUUCGCAAUGGUUUUCAUGGACAUUAAUAUGAACAAUAUAAAUUUUAUAUAAUUUUUUGAGACUUAUAAGUGAGCAAUAAUCAUUCCCACGACAGUCGGGUCAACGUUGCCGGAACUAUUCAUUUUUUUCUUUAAGGAUUACCAUUCCAAAAUCUGCAUAUCUAUAUAAAGAAUCCAAUGUCGAAUCGCCAUUCCGGCUUCAGCAAAGAUAUUAAAAUUAUAGUAAAUGCGGCCCCCACAUUGGGCAGUAGUAAACCUGCGAGCGUAUUCUUCCAUGGAAGAUUAUUAUAAAAUGUAAUUGAAGAAAAGACGGGAUCUAAGCAUGACGAGGUUAUGUUUGCCCAUUGAGCCCCUUAAAAUUAGAACUUCAUACACAAUGCUUUAUCCGGAUAUUAAUAAAGAAUACCUAUUAAAAACGUGUAAUGGAAUUUCAACUCAUAGAUACGGACAAAUGAAAAUAUUGUCAUCUUGUAAUACUACACAAUGAGAUAAACAACUUAGGUGCAUGUAUGUGUUUGUAUUAUAAUAAAGUUGGGCUUGUAACUUACACGCCGCACAGUGCCGCUCUAGUGGACAAAAAUAGAAAUAUACAUUAUCUGAUGCGAUUACCUGUCUGGUAUUUUUAUAAAAGGAAUUUAUCAACUAAAAAUAAUCACCCCGAAAUUUCCCUAUUAAAUUAGUUAUACUAAAUAGUACUAACAAUUUUAAUCACAGCAUAUCCAAAUCUACGCAAAGCUCUUCACGAAAAAAAUAUCAAGAAUUAAUUGUUUUAAUAAAAUGUUGGUUUUAUUUCCCUAUACAUAUCAGACGACUAUGGGAAUAUAAAUUUGGAAUAAAAUUAAAUGAAACGCUUCAUUACGGAAUUCCCCAAAUAACCAAAUGGCAAUUUGUAAUGGAAUAAAUAAAAAAUAUAUGCACUUCGUGGAAGGAGAUUUCAGUCGAUAGAGGAGAUCAAAGAGAAUGCGACGAAGGAGCAGAAGACCAUCCCUUCGUCGGCCUACCAGGGGUGCAUGGAGGACUAGGUUAAACGUUGGCACAUGUGUGUAGCUUCAGACGGGUCAUAUAUUGAAGGAGAUAAAAUAAAUUUGCCUGAAAUUUAACUCUGUUUUGUUUUAUUUAAACAUUCCCGGUACUUUCAGAUC